rnacentral:rRNA from 1 species
AGUGAACGCUGGCGGUAGGCCUAACACAUGCAAGUCGAACGGCAGCACAGGAGAGCUUGCUCUCUGGGUGGCGAGUGGCGGACGGGUGAGGAAUACAUCGGAAUCUACUUUUUCGUGGGGGAUAACGUAGGGAAACUUACGCUAAUACCGCAUACGACCUACGGGUGAAAGCAGGGGAUCUUCGGACCUUGCGCGAUUGAAUGAGCCGAUGUCGGAUUAGCUAGUUGGCGGGGUAAAGGCCCACCAAGGCGACGAUCCGUAGCUGGUCUGAGGGGAUGAUCAGCCAAACUGGAACGGAGACACGGUCCAGACUCCUACGGGAGUCAGCAGUGGGGAAUAUUGGACAAUGGGCGCAAGCCUGAUCCAGCCAUACCGCGUGGGUGAAGAAGACCUUCGGGUUGUAAAGCCCUUUUGUUGGGAAAGAAAUCCAGCUGGUUAAUACCCGGUUGGGAUGACGGUACCCAAAGAAUAAGCACCGGCUAACUUCGUGCCAGCAGCCGCCGUAA